CCUACGGGAGGCAGCAGUAGGGAAUUUUCCACAAUGGGCGAAAGCCUGAUGGAGCAACGCCGCGUGGGUGAAGAAGGUCUUCGGAUCGUAAAACCCUGUUGUUAGAGAAGAAAGUGCGUGAGAGUAACUGUUCACGUUUCGACGGUAUCUAACCAGAAAGCCACGGCUAACUACGUGCCAGCAGCCGCGGUAAUACGUCGGUGGCAAGCGUUAUCCGGAUUUAUUGGGCGUAAAGGGAACGCAGGCGGUCUGUUAAGUCUGAUGUGAAAGCCUUCGGCUUAACCGGAGUAGUGCAUUGGAAACUGGGAGACUUGAGUGCAGAAGAGGAGAGUGGAACUCCAUGUGUAGCGGUGAAAUGCGUAGAUAUAUGGAAGAACACCAGUGGCGAAAGCGGCUCUCUGGGCUGUAACUGACGCUGAGGUUCGAAAGCGUGGGUAGCAAACAGGAUUAGAUACCCCUGUAGUC
rnacentral:rRNA from 1 species